CCUACGGGUGGCAGCAGUGAGGAAUAUUGGUCAAUGGACGAGAGUCUGAACCAGCCAAGUAGCGUGAAGGAUGACUGCCCUAUGGGUUGUAAACCUCUUUUAUAUGGGAAUAAAAUGUUCCACGUGUGGGAUUUUGUAUGUACCCUAUGAAUAAGGAUCGGCUAAACCCGUGCCAGCAGCCGCGGUAAUACGGAGGAUCCGAGCGUUAUCCGGAUUUAUUGGGGUUAAAGGGAGCGUAGGUGGGUUGUUAAGUUAGUUGUGAAAGUUUGCGGGUCAACCGUAAAAUUGCAGUUGAAACUGGCGUUCUUGAGUGCAGUAGAGGUGGGCGGAAUUCGUGGUGUAGCGGUGAAAUGCUUAGAUAUCACGAAGAACUCCGAUUGCGAAGGCAGCUCACUGGACUCCAACUGACACUGAGGCUCGAAAGUGUGGGUAUCAAACAGGAUUAGAUACCCGGGUAGUC
rnacentral:rRNA from 1 species